rnacentral:rRNA from 1 species
GAUGAACGCUGGCGGCGUGCCUAAUACAUGCAAGUCGAGCGACCGGACGAUAAGCUUGCUUCUCUGCUGUUAGCGGCUGACGGGUGAGUAACACGUGGAUAACCUACCUAUAAGACUUGGAUAACUUCGUGAAACCGGUGCUAAUACCGGCUAAUAUUUUGAACCGCAUGGUUCAAAAGUUCUAGACGGUCUUGCUGUCACUUAUAGAUGGUUCCGCGCUGCAUUAGCUAGUUGGUAAGGUAACGGCUUACCAAGGCAACGAUGCGUAGCCGACCUGAGAGGGUGAUCGGCCACACUGGAACUGAGACACGGUCCAGACUCCUACGGGAGGCAGCAGUAGGGAAUAUUGCGCAAUGGGCGAAAGCCUGACGGAGCAACGCCGCGUGAGUGAUGAAGGUCUUCGGAUCGUAAAACUCUGUUAUUAGGGAAGAAAAUAUGUGGAAGUAAAUGUGCACAUCUUGACGGUACCUAAUCAGAAAGCCACGGCUAACUACGUG